rnacentral:snoRNA from 1 species
AUGUCAAGGCUGAGGCAUUUUCUAAAAAAAUUCUCAAACCUCUCCCAUGCCUCAGGAUAGCUUUCAAGAUCUUUUUGCUUGAAAGUGUAGACUUUAUUCUUGAUUU